rnacentral:tRNA from 1 species
GGGCCCUUAGCUCAGCUGGUUCAGAGCACCUGCCUUACAAGCAGGGGGUCACUGGUUCGAACCCAGUAUCGCCCACAA